UGGUCAGCUGCCCCAUCGCCGAAAAUGACAAAGUUUAAAGGAACUUUCCAUUAGAUCAAUUACAUGCACGUUACUCAAAUAAUUAUCGUGACUGCCAUUCUGUAGCUAAACUGUUUAAUUAAGUAAUAGUUUUAAAGUUUUAAAGCCUUUCACUGGAUUAGGAAGUCAUGCAACACUACAAGGUCAAUGGCUUUCGAUUGCAGGAUUCCCUUUAGAGGCCCUAUAUAUUUGAUUCGGAUGCUCCUGAAGACUUCCGUAAGCUAAAGUCCGAGAACUGGACCCCUGCUGUUGUUUCACUCUUAUCGUGUUGCGAAGUAUCAGUCAGCGGGUGGCAAGUUUAGUCCGAGAACUCGUGUGUACAAUGACGAUCUCGACUCAGCUACGGAAUCGUCAUUUGACAGUGACUCGGAAUAUGAAGUGGUCAGUGAAUUAAUGGAUUAGAAAAUAAUUAUAAAAAGCAAAAUUGCUCCAACAUUGAACGAUUUAUACAUUGUAGUUUCACAACGACGAGCGUGAUUGACGGAGUGGCGUUUGAUUUAUAAACAAAAAUGAACCAAUAAGUCUAUCUUUAUCUACUUAUAUUUUUACGCUUACGUCUAUAUUAUCACGAAAAUAAAUAGUCGUCUGUUGUGUCACCUAUUAUCCAUUGUCAGUAAGUGCUAAAAUUAUUUUGGUGUCGACUUCUGUUUACCUCUACAAUCCGAACACCUGUGAAAACCGAACAAAACGCAAAGUCCCGUGGGUGUUCGGUUUGGACAGGUUUUACUGUA
rnacentral:lncRNA from 1 species